rnacentral:lncRNA from 1 species
GCAGAACUGAUCAUAUGGGAAGAAUACCCUUCGAAAUUAUAUCCCAAAAGCUAGGCGCAGCCAAUACAACUAUCAGAUAUUAGAAAAUGGUAUUAUAGAUGUGGUAAUGCCUAAAGUGGCAGAACAAAUCAUGCUCAUAUGCACAUCACAACACAGACACACACCCACGCACGCAAUCACAACACAGACACGCACGCACGCGCACGCGCACACACCAUAAACGCAGAAGCAACAAAUAGGCGUGUGGCGCAUCGCACGGGGAAGACAGAGACACAACCAAUAGAGCGAGGAGCAGAUAGCCACCCUUUCCAUCGAGCCGUUCACACUAAAAGGGAUCAAAGAGUAGGACGUUUCCUAUUCUCAAACCUGCCCAUCAUAGGGAGUAAUUAUCAAACAGAGAAACAAAAGGAAAAGAAAAGCAAGAAGUUCCCUUCUUCCAUCCGUUUUUUUAUUUUCUUUCGCUUAUAUACAUCAGACCAACACACAAGCACUUUAACUAUUAUAAACAUAAUUCCCAAUUCAAGAACAUGGUUGAAUAUUAGAGCACCACAUACUACUCUUCGUAAAGUAAAACCGGGCAUGCCAAGUCAUGAUUGUGCUAUUAGUCAGUAGGUACAUUACAAAGUGUGUUCAUGCUAAGAACAUCUGCUAUUAGAUUCUUAUAACCACACUUCAUGUUUCUAUUUUCUAAAUUAAAAUAAGUGAUCUCACUACAGUAAAAAACAAACACAUAUAUAGCUCACAUAAUUACCUCGUGAAGCUAUUAGCAGAAUAUUAUGCUAUCCUAAUCAUAUUGCCAAAUUACAAUUGACCGAUUCUAGUCUAGGUUUUAAAUUUGAAAUGGGAGAACAACUCACCAUGCUCUUUGAUUUCUUCUUGGACCCAUGUUUCCUAUCACCAGUUUCCUCCCCGCUGCCUGAAUCCUCAUUGAUCUAUGCAAAUCUUCAAACGAAAGCAUCCAAAUAACCAAUAUGUAUCUUCAAAAUAGAAAAAUCAAAUUAAUAAAAGCUAUCUAAUUGAUGGAAGGAGCUUCAUUUUAUAAUGGAAUUAACUCUAUCAGGCAAACUGUGAUGUUUUGGCAUCCACGAUCAAAACAUCAAUAUAAAAUUCAAAUAUUUAGAAGAGUUUUUCUCAUUUAUGUGGGACAAAAUACAUAGUUGAUAUGCUUAAUAAUAAGUUAACAAUGAUGACACCCAAUGACUCAAACACUCACUACUAGGGAAAAGGCUAGUAGCAGCGCGGAUUUUAGGUGUAUCAGUAGCGCGGGUAGCGGCGCUACUAAUAAGGCGCUACAGCUAACACAUAGCAGUAGCGCGUGCUCACCGGCGCUACUGCUACACAAGUGUAGCAGAAGCGCGGUUAGCGGAAGCUCGCUACUGCUAGUAGCUCUAGCGCGCUUUUCCUGGACGCGCUACUGCUAUCGCGGCGCUGCUACUAACUUUUAUACACUCGCUACUACUAAUUUAAGUAAUUUUUUGUUUUUUCGGCAUAUUUGUUUUGUAUUUGAACAGGCUUUACAGAAGAAUCUUUAGCACAUAGAAAUGUCAUCAUGAUACACAUACAAAUGUCUGCGAGACCACAAAUGAAAUCGUAGCAUAUACAUACAAAUAGUGUCAUCAUAAUCAUCAUCCAACACAAAGUGGUAUCUUGUCAUCAUCUCGAAAAUAGCGAUACAUGCAAGUCUAGAAUACUUGCAACUACAACAACGUCAUCCAUCUAAACAAAGGUAUACGCAAGAAGAGCUAUCACUAUGAGUGAGAGCGGAACUAUGUAGUACAUGAGGUGGCGGUUACGAGUCCUCUCUCGCGCUAGCGUGAACCUCAAGUAACUAGCUUCUCCUUCUUGUCUGCAUUUGAAGCCUUUAUGGCUAGCGCCCGUGAACCCACUCACUUGCGCCUGACACUCAUGCCACUCGUUGUACACCCCCGGAACCUUCCCUUUGUACACAACAUAGCAAUUCCAUCUCACCAUCAAGAAACUAGGUACCUGUUAGAGAUGCAUGUUCAUGAAGAGGAUGUACAAUCAUAUAUAUGCAACAAAAUAUACUAGAGCAACACCGAAAAAGAAAGGGUUAGCAACUAGAUGCAACAUACAGUACGCAAAUUAAUUAACUAGAGGUACGCAGGUCAUCGUACGCAAACUAACAAAGUAGCGUUAAGCAAGUUCGGCAGGGACCGUGGACAUCACAAAGUUUCAUCGCUACAAAAAGUAUACAAGUUCAACCGACACAUAUCAUCAUCAUCGGCAUCAUAAAUCACUCGAAGUUCCAUCCUUCCAUAUCAUCGAGGAUGAACCCUAGCUUCUUGAAUGGCGUGAGGUCUAGACGUUGCAUGCCUAUGCGAGUUCAGACGUCAGCUCGCGAUAUAGGGCCGUGGUGGAACAUCCCCUUCUCAUCGACGACUUCUUUCAUGAUGAUCGUCACAAUGUCGCUUUGGAUGCGAAAGAAGUCUUCUCUAAGUUUAUAAUCCGCUUCUCCAUGAGAUUCUAGCCACUUGUGGAUAUGAUCAUCAUUUCUGCUUCUUAUGCGAAGCUUUUGGUGAUCCGUGUUGAACUGAAUCAUGAGAUGGACGAUGUAGAAUCCAUCCUUCUUGCUUUGUUUUGGGACAUGGAUGCAGGAGAAGUUAGUUUUAUGUGUGAAACCCAUCUUCUUGUUCCUUUGUUUCCUGAUCUGCAUGUGGCCACCUCUAAAGCUAAAGCCUUGGAGAGCAUCAUCUAGAAUAUUCAUUAUGUGGGUGUAGUCUUUUAUCUCGUAGUCUCUAGAAGGGUCAAAAUACACGGCAUGGGAGACUUGCGGGUAAAGAACGAUAAGGACGGCGCGCCCGUUGCUGCAGGGAAAAGACACCUCAAAUUAUUCCCCAUAUGAGAGAGAAGCAAUGAUUGAAAUGUACGAAAGGGUUGUCCAGAACUGACUUACUUUGGAUGAUAAGGCACGAGGACAAUUUCCCGGUCCUUAUUCUAUACCAUGAAGUUUUGGAGGUACUCCCUAGCAGUUUCACGCUCAAAGUCGCCGAGACUCAAGAAAGACUCGUGCAUGUAGUACGGAUCCGCCACACAGAUUUGCGAGACUUCUUCGCUCUUCAUGACGGAGCUCAUAUGUAGCGCAAAAAGGCGGAUGAUUGUAAAAUCGAGCCGCCUUGUUAGAAACAUCUCAAAGAUAUGGUCAAACCGCAGGAAGAACACCUCCGCGGGCCGUGUCUCGACGUAGCACUUCCCCUCAGGCACACGAGCCGCGUAUGUCGGAUAUCCUGGAUCCUUUGAGGCUAGUAGGCUUUUCUCAGUCGAAAGCACAUGAUCGUGCAGUCUCCUGAGAUCACCUGAUAGUGCCUCCAGCAAUUUCAGAGGUAGCAUCGGCUCGCCCGUGAGAUGGAACAUGAUCGCACCUUUCACAGGUACACGCUCUUCAGAAUGCAUCGUCUGGCUGCUAUGUGCUCUGGCUUGUUUGGAGGCAGUUAUCUUCCCCGAUCUCUUCCUCUCCUUUUUCUUGGGCACACCUUCCAGACCCUUUCUUAACCCCUGCCCCAGUGUUCCCGAGCUAAGUACUGUACGACCCUCGUGCCCGGCUAGUUGAGCCUGUGUUGAGGCGGCAUCUUCAGGCGUGUCCUGUGAGGAUUUCAUGAGGAGAGACUUUUUGCAAUCCCUGCUACGACCCUGCACGGGCAUAUCAUCCAUAUCCUCAUUAGCAAGCUGAUUGCCCGAUUCGUCAUAUGGUUGACUCAUCAUAUCUAUGUCAUAGUCAUACGCGUUUGUAUUGAUGUAAUCCAUAGGGUCGACCUCCUUCUCAUCAUCCAUUAUCUGUUCUACAGGAGAAAUUACAUCAGCCAGUACUAUUGCACCCCCUUCAUCAUGUCGUCCGCCGCUCUCACCCGGCACUACAGGAGCUGGUAAUUGCGUAGGUGGGGUGGUGGUCUCCGCACAUGCUUGUUGAUGUGUGGUUAUUGGUGUGCUCUCGGCCGGCUCCAGACGAAUAAGAUUCUUCGGCCAUAGCAGCACCCAACCCUUGCAGCUUCCAAUCCGCGGCGGGGUCUCGUCGUCCGCUCCCACAUGCUGUACUGGAGGAGGCAAAUCCUCGUGCCCCAAUUUCACACUGGUCAAGCUAACCCUGAAGUGCCCAGCGGGGAUCGGCUGGUUGUGGAACGUGGGUUGCGAGGGGUCCAUUAUCAUUCCCUUUCCCACGUCCACCUUCUCGCCUUUGAUCAAGUAGAGUAUGGUGCACGGGGUUUCUUUCUCCUGCAAACACAUAUGUCUGUGGCGUAAAACAACCGAAAGGCAACAAAAAUGGAAUUAUAUAUAUAUAUAUAUAUAUAUGUUGGUGCGACAUGUAAUUACCGUGACGGCGUCGAGCUCAGCCAAAGACGAAGGCCCACCUAGCACGCGUGAGACUGAGGACGGCUGCUAUGAGCGGGAGCGGCUGCGAGAGGAGGCCCAGUUGCGUGAGCAAGUGAUGGUGCGAUGGUGUUACUGUUCAUGGAGUUGCUCCCGACGAAACUGGGCAACGGGAAAUCAUGUACCGUCUUGUCUGGAUUUUCCUUCGUCCAGUUGAUGAUAACUGGAACCAAGUUAGUAGCGAAAUCAUUUCUGCAGGCAGUUACAGCUGCAUUGACUGCCUGCUGUAGCAACUCAUAUUUGUCCUUGGCUGCUUUUUUCGCAUCCUCAGCUGCUUUUUUCUCGAUCGCGAACUUCACCUUCGUGUCGAUGUCCGCCUGACUAAACUUCUUUUUCUGCUUCUUGGCCUCCGGGCCCUCGUCGUAAAACACCUUCCACGUGGCGCCGUCUCCAGCGUCGUGCACACGACCAUAUUGCGGCCGCUGGCCCAAAGGGAGUCCCUUAAGUUCAUUCAAGUCCCGGUUGAGAGGGGUGUCCCACUUGGGACUCAUCGGAGAAGUAGGGCUUUCGGCUGCAAGCCGGUUUUGCUUCUCUAGUAGUCUAAUCAAUUUCCUCGUGAUCUUGUCCGUGUAAAAAACCUUUUUCUCCUUCUCCCACUUGUAGCGGGCCCUGAUGAAGUCACGCUUCAAGGGGUUGGUGAACUUCGCGAAGGGUUCUGGGAGACCCGCGGCUUCACGUUCCGUGUCCUCCUUAUCCCAUAUGGGCCUUUUAUCGAGGUAGCCAUGGCUUCCGAGGCGAUGCUUCCCCGUGUUCCUUUCCUGAAGGCUCUUGAAUUUCGCAGCCUUAGCCUUGGCUACCUCGGUGGGGCAAGUGUCCUUGAACUUUUCGAACUCCUCUUCCGUAAGUGUCGAAUUUUCCUCCAGAAUCUUGGACAAGGGUUCAUUGGCCUCAAUAGCUCGUUUCACCCUCCCUUUCCAUGAGGCCAAAUCAUUGCUGAACAUGCCCAUGGCGUGAUUGUUAAUAUUUUUCAUCUUCGGAUCAUCCCACGGUUGUUCUAUGUUAUCAUCCCGGUCGGGGAACUUGAAUCUCUUGUGCAACUUCGUUAGGAGCAACUGCGUCAAAUGUUCUUUACUCCUUAAUUCAUCGUCGUUGAUGCUCGCGCAUUCCCGUAGGAUGCAUCCUACUUGGUUCCCAUUGCACUUGCGAGGUUCUUCCGGCUCUAACGGCUCAAACUUGCCAAGUGCCAUCUUUGUGAUCACAAGUCGUCCAAUCCCUAGUUUGUUAGGUUUUCGUAUCCUCUGCUUCUUAUGCUUCCUCUUUUCGGUAGCGGCAUCGAGGCUGGUACCUUCCCCGCCGGUACCUUCCCCACCGGUCUCGGUGCCGGCGCCGUCGAUGUCGAUGUCCGCGUCAGUACCAUCAUCAAGGCCGACCUGCAAACCUUGCUUAGCAGUCAAAUAGUCGAGGUACUCUUGUUUACCCUCAUAAUCCAUCUCGUCUGCAUCUUGGUCAGAAGGCCCAGUUUCUUCGUUGUUCGACAUGUUUCCUAUGAUUAAGUGUCCGCAUUUAUUUCUAAAAGAAUGAAUAAAUGAGAAAUGACAUAAAAAGAAAUCUAUGUGCCAGCACUCGAUAUGCCAACUAUGUAGCACAAAUCAUGCCUUUAUUCACGGGAAAUUUCGGCAUGACCUUUGCUAAAAAAUGGACAUAUCGAGCGCCUGAAAUUCACCGGAACAGAAAUGAAUCAACAUUCCGGCGUAACAACAUGACAUAUCCACAUAUCACAUGUCCAGUUCAAAUUUGCAUAUAAAUUUAGCUAAUUUUGAAACCUAGCUAAAUUCAUAACUAAAUAGAUAACAUAAUUAACAUACUGCCCUAACUAAAACCUAAGUAAAUUAACCGAAGAACCCUAGCAGAGAGAGAGAGAGAGUGGGAGGGGAGGUUUACAGAGGGUGCAGGGGCGAGGAGGCAGGCCCGACGAUGGCCGAGGUUGGGAGGGGAGGAAGCAGAGGAGGGAGGCGAGGGCCGACGGGUCGGGGGCGAGCGCCUGGGUCGGGGGCAAGCGCCGGCGCUGGNNNNNNNNNNNNNNNNNNNNNNNNNNNNNNNNNNNNNNNNNNNNNNNNNNNNNNNNNNNNNNNNNNNNNNNNNNNNNNNNNNNNNNNNNNNNNNNNNNNNNNNNNNNNNNNNNNNNNNNNNNNNNNNNNNNNNNNNNNNNNNNNNNNNNNNNNNNNNNNNNNNNNNNNNNNNNNNNNNNNNNNNNNNNNNNNNNNNNNNNNNNNNNNNNNNNNNNNNNNNNNNNNNNNNNNNNNNNNNNNNNNNNNNNNNNNNNNNNNNNNNNNNNNNNNNNNNNNNNNNNNNNNNNNNNNNNNNNNNNNNNNNNNNNNNNNNNNNNNNNNNNNNNNNNNNNNNNNNNNNNNNNNNNNNNNNNNNNNNNNNNNNNNNNNNNNNNNNNNNNNNNNNNNNNNNNNNNNNNNNNNNNNNNNNNNNNNNNNNNNNNNNNNNNNNNNNNNNNNNNNNNNNNNNNNNNNNNNNNNNNNNNNNNNNNNNNNNNNNNNNNNNNNNNCGGCGUCGGGGUCAGGGGUGAGCGCCGGCGCCGGGGUCGGGGUCGGGGGCGAGGGCCGGGUUGGUGGCGAGCACUGGCGCCGGGGUCGGGAGCGAGCGACGGGGGAAGAGAGAGUGGGGAUUUGGGGGGAAAAGGCGGGAUGAAGCAGGGAUAGUGAGAAAUUUGGGUUAAGUGGACGUAGCAGCAGCGCGUUUGGCCAAAACGCGCUACUACUACCUUCAGUAGCUGCAGCGAUUUGUACGAAAAGCGCUGCUACUACCUUCAGUAGCUGUAGCAGUUUAUACGAAACGCGCUACUACUACCUUCCAGUUUUCUUUUUUCUUUUCCUUUAUUUUCUCCCACUUUUAUUUCCAGAGAGCAGUGAUCGAAGGGAGGGCAAUAUAUAUUGCAUCAUCUGACGGUUAAAUAUGUAUGCAAAAUAGGAACAUAUAUAUUACUUCAUUGGACCCAUGCAUAAUAAUGGCUAAGUGUGUAUACAAAAUAGGAACAUAUAUAUAUAUAUAUAUAUAUAUAUAUAUAUAUAUACAUCAUUUGACCAAUAACAUACGGUUCCUCAGCGCUGACGUUUUCGUUUUUGAGUCAGCUUCUUUCCCUUCUUGUUCGUCGAAGAAUAAUUGAACCCCUCAUUGUGACUUCGCCUUUUCCAUGGAGUACGAUUUUUCUUAGGUAAUGUAGUAUUGAUUCUUCUUUUGACGUAUACUUCAUCAUCAUCGUCAUCUUCCCUCAUUGGGUUGCCGUACUGAUCAUAAUCUUCCUCGUUGGUGACUCCAUCCAUUCCAAUGAUGUUCCUUUUGCAUCUCCUCAAGACAACACGACUGGGAUUGCAUCGGUCGGUUAUGAAGAAGCAUUAUGUCACGUGCUUAGCGUGUACCCAUGGCUCGUUUUUGGCGAUAGCAUUCACGGUAGCGCUCUUGGCAUCGAGUAUACUCAUGGUAGUGAAAAUCCGGUUUUCUCUUUUGACAUUCUUUGCCCAUCUGACACGGAACAUCGUCGUGUUGUGCAGUCCGGAGUAGUCAAGCUCCCAGAUCUCCUCGACCCUUCCAUAAAAUCGUUCAGUUGCGCCGUUGUCGCUGCCGGUCAUGCAUUCCAUCGUCACCCCUGAGUUCUGAUCAUCACUGUCCAUAUCUUUGGCCUCCGUGUAGAACGUGUAUCCGUUGAUAUCAUAUGCCUGAUAGGUUACGAGGUUGGGCGAGGGGCCAUGUGCUAAGGCGUAUAUGAGCAAUCCGUCCUUAGAGCCCUCCUCCAGGGGAUUAGCAAUAAUAUGCUCUUUGAACCAAUGCAGGAAAGUGGAGUUGUGCUCUCUAGUAACUUCGGCGUUCGUCCUGCAUACCCCUCGGUCACGAUACUUCUUUGCGAUAAUUUCUUUGUGCAGUGCCACGAAAGGAUCUACCUCGUCUAGGUGUUGUAGCAGUACCAAGUUUGCUCUGUCAAAGUCCUUGUGUCGAUCUGAGUAUGCCACGUGCAGUUCCUUGCGACCGUUGUAGUGACCAUCUCCUUCGAGCCUCCCAUCGUGCUUGUUAACGGGCAAACCAAUACUAACACCAGGCGGCUGGUCUGCGCCAUAUAGAAAAUUCUCACAGAAAGAGAUUCACUCUUUUGUCAAAUAGCCCUGGACGAUGCUUCCAUCCGGACGAGACAUGUUACGAACGAAUCCUUUGAUGAUCCCAUUCAUCCUCUCAAAUGGCAUCAUGUUGUGCAGGAAUGACGGCCCCAGGUCUAUUAUGUCAUCCACAAUAUGGACACACAGAUGCACCAUCACGUCAAAGAACGCGAGCGGGAAGUACAUCUCAAGCUCAUUCAGUAUCACAACGAUCUCUUCAUGUAGCCUUCGGAGCUGCUUCACACUGAUCGACUUUCGAGAGAUGACGUCGAAAAAGUUGCAGAGACCAAUAAGCGUGUCACGGACGUGCUUGUCCAUUAUCCCUCUAAGGGCAACAGGUAGUAUCUGCGUCAUCAUCACAUGACAGUCAUGAGACUUCAUCCCGCUAAACCUUUUCCUGUCCAUGUCUAGAUAUCUGCUUAUCUUGCCACAGUAACUGGAACUAACUUUGACUCCGGUAAGGCACUUAAAGAAGGCAUUGAUCUCAGCCUGACUUAAGGUGAAGCAAGAAGGCGGGCAAUGAUCCUCUUUCUUUAUUUUCUUGCCCUUCUUCUCCCGUGCCUCUGUCUCGUCUGACAUUUUACGGGGCGGCAUGUGCAGAUCUUCCCUGAUUUUCAAAUCUUGCAAGUCUUUUCUUGCCUUCGGCCCAUCCAUGGUCUUAUCUGGCAUGUUCAUCAGUGUUGCGAGCAAGCUCUCAAGGACAUUCUUACAGAUAUGCAUUUGAUCAAGGGAAUGAGGAGUAUCGAGUUUGUGUCAGUACUCCAAGUCCCAGAACACAGACCUCGUCUUCCAUACCUUCAGCAGCGGGUCCGGCGCCUUUCUCAUCGUCUUUCCCGGCGCGGGGCACUCCUUCGAGUUUUUCAACAGCUCAUCAAUUUUGGCACCGCUCCGCUUACGUGGAGGUCCUCGAUGCUCAGCGUUACCAUUGAAUAGAUCUCCAUGGUUUCUCCAUAGGUCGUCCUGUUCAAGCCAUCUUCGAUGCCCCAUGUACACGAUUUUCCCAGACCCGUCAUCUUUCCUUGACGUUAGCUGCUGAGACGUCGUAUCAUCCAUGCACCGCAUGCAUCCACAAUAUCCAUGGUACACCUGGCCUGCCACAUAUUUGUAACCGAGAUAGUCCUGCACUGUCGUGAUCAGCGCGGCUCUCAUGUUGAAAUACUCGCCUUUGCUGGCAUCCCAUGUCUUGGCCGGUGUUUUCCAUAACGUGUCUAACUCCUCUUGAAGUAGCCCUAGAUACAAAUUAAUAUUAUUUCCUGGUUGUUUCAGCCCUUGAAUAAGUAUGCUCAUGUGAAUGUACUUUGAUUUCCUGCACAACCAGGGGGGAGGUUGUACAUCCAUACAAACAUGGGCCAUGUGCUAUGGUUGGUGUUCAUAGGGGUCGAGCCAAACUAAUCCUUUGCAUUUUCCGCACGGACAUAAAACCUCUGUCCGGUUAUUUUCUUUCAUGUCCUGCAGCGCCGACCGCAACCACUUGUCCACCAUCGUUCCACUGACCAUCGUCAACUCUGCACGAUAAUAAUAAACAAAUUGAUUAUAAAAAUGCGUGUAUGCAUCAAAGUCAUACAAAAAUUUGGCAUGACCUUCCCUAAAAAUAGGAUCUAGAGUUUGCCCGGAAUUCACCGAAACGGAAAUAAAUCGACAUUUCGGCAAAACAUAGGCAACUCAAAAGCACAAUUUGGCGUCAACUCAUGCCAUACACACAAUUUCCACAAACAUAUCACACACACAUAAACAUAUUUCCAUUUUGCAAAAGCAUGCAAUUUUCAUCACCUAUCUCGAGAUCGAGCACACGGUGGAGAUGAUGUUGUAGGGAGAUCAAAAGUGCACAAAUCUCUUCUUGACAAACAUAGAUCUAGUUAGGGGGCAAAUAGGUCACUUAACUAAAUCCUACAUCUACCUAGCUACCUAAUUUGGGAGGAGACAACUUCAACUAGUGGAGGGGAAGGAAAAAGAGAAAGGAGAUGCAUUAAUGGAGGUGGUGUAGUUAGGUAGGAGUAAUGAAGAGAGAGAAAGGUAGAUAGAAGAGAGAGAGUAAUGGGGGAGAAGUAUUGAAGAAGAAGAAGAAGAGUGAGAGUGGGAGCAUGUGGGAGGUAGGGGAAAGGGAAGAGAGGAGGGGGAGGGGGGGCGGUGGGGAAAAGGUGGUGGGUUGGUGCGGAUUAGCAGUAGCGCGGGACGGAAAACGCGCUGCUGAUAAGGAAGUAGCAGCAGCGCGCUUUCGUCAGAAGCGCUACUGCUAACCGGGACAAAAAGUGUGUCCAAUUUGAAAAUUAGCAGCAGCGACCUCAGAAAAACCGCGCUACUACUACAGCUUUAGCAGUAGCGCGGCUAGCGAUACCGUGCUACUACUAAAUGGUGGUGAGGGGGCACUGUCGGUCGAUAUUUGUAGCAGCGCGUGUUACACAGAGCGCGCUACUGCUAAACACUUGUCAGUAGCGGGUUUUCCACACCCGCGUUACUGCUAAUUAGCAGCAGCGCUCCUUUUUGAGCCGCGCUGCUGCUAAGAUUCUGUGCAUAGGAUUUUCCCUAGUAGUGACUAAAGCUUUGGCUUCACCAUAACAAAUUAAUCUUUGCCAUGUACAGUCUAGCCCUCAAUACCUGGCAUCUCAUUUUACAAUGGAACUCUCUUUUCCCUUGGCAAGCAGCAGUAAUGUAGCAGUAGCACUUCUUUCUCAUGUACUCAUGUUGGACAGAACAAAUAUUAGAUACUGAAAACUCAUGUUACACAUGAUGCCAAAUAAGCAUUUUUCCAUAAACCAAAAGGAUGAACUCACCCUGGGGUAGACUGCAAUCAUCUAAUAAUCACAUCAAUCGUGUAUAAUCUAUUCAAAUAGAUUUGUCGGUCAAAUUAUGACAAUUAGCGUCCACCAUGUAGCUUUAUUA